GACGAACGCUGGCGGCGUGCUUAACACAUGCAAGUCGAACGGUAAGGCCCUUUGGGGUACACGAGUGGCGAACGGGUGAGUAACACGUGGGUGAUCUGCCCUGCACUUCGGGAUAAGCCUGGGAAACUGGGUCUAAUACCGGAUAGGACCACUGCCUGCAUGGGUGGGGGUGGAAAGCUUUUGCGGUGUGGGAUGGGCCCGCGGCCUAUCAGCUUGUUGGUGGGGUGAUGGCCUACCAAGGCGACGACGGGUAGCCGGCCUGGGAGGGUGACCGGCCACACUGGGACUGAGAUACGGCCCAGACUCCUACGGGAGGCAGCAGUGGGUAAUAUUGCACAAUGGGCGCAAGCCUGAUGCAGCGACGCCGCGUGAGGGAUGACGGCCUUCGGGUUGUAAACCUCUUUCAGCACCGACGAAGCGCAAGUGACGGUAGGUGCAGAAGAAGGACCGGCCAACUACGUGCCAGCCGCCGCAGUAA
rnacentral:rRNA from 1 species